GAGGGUACAGCUCAGUGGUAGGGUGCAUGCUUAACAUGCAUGAGGUUAUGGGCUCAAUUCCCAGUACCUCUG
rnacentral:tRNA from 1 species